rnacentral:rRNA from 1 species
CCGCGUGAGCGAAGAAGGUCUUCGGAUUGUAAAGCUCUGUUGCCGGGGAAAAAGGAAGGAAAGAGGAAAUGCUUUUCUUUGGAUGGUACCCGGCCAGAAAGUCACGGCUAACUACGUGCC